rnacentral:ncRNA from 1 species
UUAAAUUCUAAGAGCAAAGGUAAGUAAUCUGCAAAACGAUGUUUCAGAGAGCCGAUGAAUGGUGUGAAUUCGGUACAUACGCUGUUUGAUGAAUGGAUUUGUGAGAAGCAUAGUGAACAAAGCUUUUUAGCUUCAAGUAUCUAUCGCCGUUGUUCCCACGUUACAGGGAUAGGAUAUUAAGGAUUGAUUCCAGCGUAUCUGAAAAAGGAGAGUUUUACUUUAACUCUUGAAUUUGGGUGGCACCACGAUGUCUAUCGUCCCUUAU